rnacentral:rRNA from 1 species
CAGCAGCCGCGGGAAUACGGAGGGAGCUAGCGUUGUUCGGAAUUACUGGGCGUAAAGCGCACGUAGGCGGCUUUGUAAGUUAGAGGUGAAAGCCUGGAGCUCAACUCCAGAAUUGCCUUUAAGACUGCAUCGCUUGAAUCCGGGAGAGGUGAGUGGAAUUCCGAGUGUAGAGGUGAAAUUCGUAGAUAUUCGGAAGAACACCAGUGGCGAAGGCGGCUCACUGGACCGGCAUUGACGCUGAGGUGCGAAAGCGUGGGGAGCAAACAGGAUUAGAUACCCCUGUAGUCCCUGUCUCUUAUAC